AGCUUUGUGCCGUGGCAGUAUCGUAGCCAAUGAGGUUUAUCGGAGGCACAAUUAUUGUUUAUUGAUAACACCAAGGUCCAGGGUUCAAUCCCUGUACCAGCUAGCCACCAAAAAAAAGAUUAGUAAGAUUUUUUUUCUUUAAAGAU